UGAACUCGCUUCUAUUAUAGCCCCUUUUGUUUCGCCUUAACAAUCGGUCUUUAUUCCAGUCCUGUACUUGGCACUGUUUAGCUGCCUGACUCCAAACUUCACCACCCUGCCUCCUGCUUAAAGCACUCAAAUUGCCCUCUUCUGCAAAUAUAUGGUGAAUGCGGUGGGGCCUCGCCACAGUCUGACACAUCAGUUGUCUGGGCUAUAAUUCUAUAAUCUAUUACAUAUUAUUAUACACGACCACACGGCCAAAGAACAGACAGACUGCCUCAUUCAGAGAAAGAGUGUGAAAAAAACAAGGACUGAAGGGAGUUCGGGUUUUAAAACUUUGUAAAGCGGUGUUCUCAGGACUGAGAGAAGGCGUGUCUAGCUGCACUUUACCUGUUUUGCAGAAUUCCUUCGUCUUUUUUAAAAGGGCAUGCACCCGAGCUGAAUGGCAACACCCAGACCACGGACAGCAGAAAGGUUUACUGCCAUGUCAGAGCGAAGAGGCCCGAGCAGAGCCUGAAGUUCGACUGGAUAGCUACCCAGCUGAGUGAGAUGGGGUUGCAGGAGCUGCCCAACCUGGAAGUUGUGACUGAAGCGAUGUAGGAGCUGACAACGGUAUCCCUGAUGGGAUUUCAUGUGUGGCUGGGCCCCCUUGACAAUGAGAUGCACACCUGAAAGGAGUCUCUUCCUGGAUUAACAAUAAUCAACAUGGAAUAGCAAUAGCAAUACUAAUACAAAUGCACGUCUGCAGCAGCCCAGAGACCGGAGAGUCUCAAUGGACUUCGGUCACAGAGGAGGAGGGACAGGGUCCAGCUUCAAAAACAUCAGCGUUCAUUUCAAGCUUGAGCACUGUUGAGUGCGGAUGAUUCAUCUGAAACAGCAGAGACCCUGUGCUGUGACAUACAGCAAUGGAAAUCGGAUAUGAGAACGGACACAGAAUGUGUCACUGUGUGUAGUGAUGUUACACCAUGCAUAACCCGUACUGCACGACGUCUCAUAGGAGUUCUUGACGACAGACUAAUAUUUUUGGGCAAGAUGUCAUCUCUUACAACACAAUAAACACGGCCCUUUUUAAACUUAUAAAUAAAAACAAGCCUGCUGAAAACAGUUUGUCCAGACAGCUGUUUAAAUAUGAGAGGUCUCCACAAUUAAAUUCUACGGCACUGCAAUACACACCCUGGCACUAAUUUACAGUGUAUUAUUCAUUACAUUUAGAGUCACAUGAAAGGGAAAUAGGAUCACAGCUGCUGAGCUGCUGUAAGUCCAGGGCGAGUAAAUGCAAACAGAAGGCUGCUGCUAGUUCCCAUUGUGUUCUCACUGCAUUGCAUGAGCGGGGCCUUCAUUCAGGUGCCAGCGGUACCGCUGUGGCACCAUCUUGUGGUCCUCUUGUCAUUCCAUUUGAUUUAUUCAUAUUCUAUCAUUCUGGGUUUCUUUGAUUUUUGCUUCACAUGUAGGCUGUGUGCUUGAGAGCUUAUGGUGGGUGCUUAUUUCAUCCUCGUUGAAUGAAAGCUUUGUCCUAAUGACCAUGACAGAUUCUACAAAUAGCACAAGAAUAAAGGCUGGCCACCAAGCUUACUGUAACCGACCCAGCCUGAAAUCCCCUGAUCCAUUGAAUUAACUUAUUGCUCUGAUUCUCACUUGUGAUAGCUAUGUUAUUGUGUGUUGGUGGAGAGGCAGAGACAUUCACAAUGGUACACUGAUCACCACAAAUACAGACUGCCAACACAGAGGUGCACAUUAAUAGUAAUAGCUGGAUAGGUAUUACAUUGCAUUGGCUUUUUAGAUGAAUGUAAUGUUAUUAGAAGCCUAUGCUGCCUUUGAAGCAUGUCUGUUAGCCCCUAUUAUUAAAGGAAUCAAAAAUCAAUAUUU